AUGAUGGGUAGGGGAGCUUCCCAUACGGGUUGAAGCAUGACCGUAAGGACAUGUGGACAGUAUGGGAGUGAGAAUGUUGGCAUGAGUAGCGAGAUGUGGGUGAGAAUCCCACAGGCCGUAAACCCAAGGUUUCCAGGGGAAGGUUCGUCCGCCCUGGGUUAGUCGGGACCUAAGCUGAGGCCGAAAGGCGUAGGGGAUGGACAACAGGUUGAUAUUCCUGUACUACCGAUAACCGUUUGAGAGAUGCGAUGAAACAGUAGGAUAAGCUAAGCACNCUGUUGGUUAUGUGUGCCCAAGCAUUGAGGCAGUCAAAGUAGGCAAA
rnacentral:rRNA from 1 species